rnacentral:rRNA from 1 species
AGUGAACGCUGGCGGUAGGCCUAACACAUGCAAAUCGAACGGCAGCACAGUAAGAGCUUGCUCUUACGGGUGGCGAGUGGCGGACGGGUGAGGAACACAUCGGAAUCUACUUUUUCGUGGGGGAUAACGUAGGGAAACUUACGCUAAUACCGCAUACGACCUACGGGUGAAAGCAGGGGAUCUUCGGACCUUGCGCGAUUGAAUGAGCCGAUGUCGGAUUAGCUAGUUGGCGGGGUAAAGGCCCACCAAGGCGACGAUCCGUAGCUGGUCUGAGAGGAUGAUCAGCCACACUGGAACUGAGACACGGUCCAGACUCCUACGGGAGGCAGCAGUGGGGAAUAUUGGACAAUGGGCGCAAGCCUGAUCCAGCCAUACCGCGUGGGUGAAGAAGGCCUUCGGGUUGUAAAGCCCUUUUGUUGGGAAAGAAAAGCAGCAGGUUAAUACCCCGCUGUUCUGACGGUACCCAAAGAAUAAGCACCGGCUAACUUCGUG